ACGAACGCUGGCGGCGUUCCUAAUACAUGCAAGUUGAGCGCUGAAGUUUGGUACUUGUACCAACUGGAUGAGCAGCGAACGGGUGAGUAACGCGUGGGGAAUCUUCCUUUGAGCGGGGGACAACAUUUGGAAACGAAUGCUAAUACCGCAUAAAAACUUUAAACACAAGUUUUAAGUUUGAAAGAUGCAAUUGCAUCACUCAAAGAUGACCCCGCGUUGUAUUAGCUAGUUGGUGAGGUAAAGGCUCACCAAGGCGAUGAUACAUAGCCGACCUGAGAGGGUGAUAGGCAAAAUUGGGCUUGGGACACGGCCAACAACCCUACGGCAGGGACCAGUACGGAAUCUUCGGCAAUGGCCGAAAGUCUGACCGAGCAACGACGCGUGAGUGACGAAGGUUUUCGGAUCGUAAAACUCUGUUGGUAGAGAAGAACGUUGGUGAGAGUGGAAAGCUCAUAAAGUGACGGUAACUACCCAGAAAGGGACGGCUAACUCCGUG
rnacentral:rRNA from 1 species